CGCGUAGGCGGUUUUUUAAGUCUGAUGUGAAAGCCCACGGCUCAACCGUGGAGGGUCAUUGGAAACUGGAAAACUUGAGUGCAGAAGAGGAAAGUGAAUUCCAUGUGUAGCGGUGAAAUGCGCAGAGAUAUGGAGGAACACCAGUGGCGAAGGCGACUUUCUGGUCUGUAACUGACGCUGAUGUGCGAAAGCGUGGGGAUCAAACA
rnacentral:rRNA from 1 species